rnacentral:piRNA from 1 species
CUCUUCAGAGAAGGAGAGUCAAAGGAACCAU